CGCCUGUUUAUCAAAAACAUGGUUUUUUGAUAAUAAUUUAAGAUUUGACCUGCCCACUGAAUUUAUUUUUAAAGGGCCGCGGUAUUCUGACCGUGCAAAGGUAGCAUAAUCAUUAGUCUCUUAAUUGGAGACUGGAAUGAAUGGUUUGACGAGAUGCUUUCUGUCUCAUAAUAAUUUAUUGAAUUUAACUUUUGAGUCAAAAGGCUUAAAUUUGAUUAGAGGACGAGAAGACCCUAUAGAGCUUUAUAUUAUUUUGGUUAGUAUAUUUUUAGUGAAGUUUUUUAUUUUAGUUAAAAUUUUAUUUUAUUGGGGUGAUAUGAAGAAUUAAUAAACUCUUUAUUUAUAGAAACAUUUAUUUAUGGGUAUUUGAUCCAGUAUUAUUGAUUAUAAGAUUAAGUUACCUUAGGGAUAACAGCGUAAUUUUUUUUGAGAGUUCUUAUCAACAGGAAAGAUUGCGACCUCGAUGUUGGAUUAAGGUAUAGUGCUAGGUGUAGCAGUUUAGUACUUAAGUCUGUUCGACUAUAAUUCCUUACGUGAUCUGAGUUCAGACCGG
rnacentral:rRNA from 1 species